rnacentral:rRNA from 1 species
UACAGAGGUCCCGAGCGUUGUUCGGAUUCAUUAGGCGUAAAGGGUGCGUAGGCGGCGGGGCAAGUCUGAUGUGAAAUCCCGGGGCUCAACCCCGGAACUGCAUUGGAUACUGCCUUGCUCGAGUACUGGAGAGGGAACUGGAAUUUACGGUGUAGCAGUGAAAUGCGUAGAGAUCGUAAGGAAGGCCGGUGGCGAAGGCGAGUUCCUGGACAGUGACUGACGCUGAGGCACGAAGGCCAGGGGAGCAAACGGG